rnacentral:rRNA from 142 species
GCGGCGGACGGGUGAGUAACACGUGGGCAACCUGCCCGCAAGACCGGGAUAACUCCGGGAAACCGGAGCUAAUACCGGAUAACACCGAAGACCGCAUGGUCUUUGGUUGAAAGGCGGCCUUUGGCUGUCACUUGCGGAUGGGCCCGCGGCGCAUUAGCUAGUUGGUGAGGUAACGGCUCACCAAGGCGACGAUGCGUAGCCGGCCUGAGAGGGUGACCGGCCACACUGGGACUGAGACACGGCCCAGACUCCUACGGGAGGCAGCAGUAGGGAAUCUUCCGCAAUGGGCGAAAGCCUGACGGAGCGACGCCGCGUGAGCGAAGAAGGCCUUCGGGUCGUAAAGCUCUGUUGUGAGGGACGAAGGAGCGCCGUUCGAAGAGGGCGGCGCGGUGACGGUACCUCACGAGGAAGCCCCGGCUAACUACGUGCCAGCAGCCGCGGUAAUAC